rnacentral:rRNA from 1 species
CCUACGGGAGGCAGCAGUGGGGAAUAUUGCACAAUGGGCGAAACCCUGAUGCAGCGACGCCGCGUGAGUGAAGAAGGCCUUCGGGAUGUAAAGCUCUUUCAGCAGGGAAGAAAAUUAUGGUACUUGUCUCCUUAGCUCUGGACAAUUCCGUCCCAGCAGCCGCGGUAAUACGGAGGGCGCAAGGGCUAUCCGGAUUUACUGGGUGUAAAGUGAGUGUAGGCGGCAGGGCAAGUCGGGCGUGAAAUCCCAUGGCUUAACCUGGGAACUGCAUUGGAAACUGUGAGGCUAGAGUGCAGGAGAGGUGGGUGGAAUUCCUGGUGUAGCGGUGAAAUGCGUAGAUAUUAGGAGGAACACCGGUGGCGAAGGCGGCUUACUGGACUGUAACUGACGUUGAGGCGCGAAAGCGUGGGGAGCAAACAGGAUUAGAUACCCGUGUAGUC